UCGCACUGAUAUUAGUCAAGAAAUUACAGUCAACGACGAAGAUACUCUUGGUACAACAUACUGUCUGGCCAACAAACAAACAAUUCCCAAUUUUGUGUCUACAUUAUUCCGACAUAAAACUAAAACGAGUUUCGCAUUAAGUAGCCAACAGCAUGACGGUGCAACUUUUUGGCAAGGGAGUCCGCCCUCGGUUAAUGGAAGUGAUCUCAAAAAAAUAGCUUCUUUUUUUUUUUAAUUAUGCAUAAACUAAGGCAUAGCUAAAUAUAUAGUCAACUCGAUUGUCCAGUUAACCUUUGUACUCGAACCAGCCUCCUGAUCCCAAACGACAAUACAAAAAAGCUGCUCAACUUGA